GUAACGGCGAGUGAAGCGGUAACAGCUCAAAUUUGAAAGCUAGCUCUUUUAGGGUUCGCAUUGUAAUUUGUAGAAGAUGCUUCGGGUGUGGCCCCGGUCUAAGUUCCUUGGAACAGGACGUCAUAGAGGGUGAGAAUCCCGUAUGUGACUGGGUGCUUUCGCUCAUGUGAAGCUCUUUCGACGAGUCGAGUUGUUUGGGAAUGCAGCUCAAAAUGGGUGGUAAAUUUCAUCUAAAGCUAAAUAUUGGCCAGAGACCGAUAGCGCACAAGUAGAGUGAUCGAAAGAUGAAAAGCACUUUGGAAAGAGAGUUAAACAGUACGUGAAAUUGUUGAAAGGGAAGCGCUUGCAACCAGACUUGCGCGCUGAUGAUCAUCCGGGCUUCUGCCCGGUGCACUCGUCUGCGCUCAGGCCAGCAUCGGUUUCGGUGGUGGGAUAAAGGCCUUGGGAAUGUAGCUUCUUUCGGGGAGUGUUAUAGCCCUCGGUGCAAUGCCGCCUACCGGGACCGAGGACCGCGCUUCGGCUAGGAUGCUGGCGUAAUGGUUGUAAGCGACCCGUCUUGAAACACGGACCAAGGAGUCUAACAUCUAUGCGAGUGUUUGGGUGUCAAACCCAUACGCGUAAUGAAAGUGAACGGAGGUGAGAACCCUUAAGGGUGCAUCAUCGACCGAUCCUGAUGUCUUCGGAUGGAUUUGAGUAAGAGCAUAGCUGUUGGGACCCGAAAGAUGGUGAACUAUGCGUGAAUAGGGUGAAGCCAGAGGAAACUCUGGUGGAGGCUCGCAGCGGUUCUGACGUGCAAAUCGAUCGUCAAAUUUGCGUAUAGGGGCGAAAGACUAAUC
rnacentral:rRNA from 1 species